rnacentral:rRNA from 1 species
UACGUAGGGACCAAGCGUUGUUCGGAUUUACUGGGCGUAAAGGGCGCGUAGGCGGCGUGUUAAGUCAGCUGUGAAAUCUCCAAGCUUAACUUGGAACGGUCAGCUGAUACUGAUGUGCUAGAGUGCAGAAAGGGCAAUCGGAAGUCUUGGUGUAGCGGUGAAAUGCGUAGAUAUCAAGAGGAACACCUGAGGCGAAGGCGGGUUGCUAGGCUGACACUGACGCUGAGGCGCGAAAGCUAGGGUAGCAAACGGG